UACGUAAGGUGCAAGCGUUAAUCGGAAUUACUGGGCGUAAAGCGUGCGCAGGCGGUUUUGUAAGUCUGUCGUGAAAGCCCCGGGCUCAACCUGGGAAUUGCGAUGGAGACUGCAAGGCUUGAAUCUGGCAGAGGGGGGUAGAAUUCCACGUGUAGCAGUGAAAUGCGUAGAGAUGUGGAGGAACACCGAUGGCGAAGGCAGCCCCCUGGGUCAAGAUUGACGCUCAUGCACGAAAGCGUGGGGAGCAAACAGG
rnacentral:rRNA from 1 species